GACUUUUAGCGGUGGAUCACUCGGCUCCUGCGUUGAUGAAGAACACAACUAGCUGUGAGAAUUAAUGUGAAUUGCAGGACACAUUGAUCAUUGACAUGUCAAACACACUUGCGGCCCGGUUCCUCCCAGGGCCAUGCCUAUCUGAGCGUCG
ensembl:rRNA 5_8S_rRNA 5.8S ribosomal RNA